GUCACGAGUCCAUAGAACUCAUUGGCCUACUCAUAAUAUUUUGGUGAAUUCUCCAUCCAAACAGAGUCUAAAAGACGGGUAAUUUCUGUCGUCAUCUGGAGUAAAUAAAGCAAAGUCCAAGUUUAGAUUGGGGAAACAAUCGAGUCUAUGAAUAGUAAGUAACUGGUUGAUGCCGAGAAUAUCCUAUGGGGAGAUUCCUUGUUCCCGAGUCCCGACUUGAUGACUCAUUCAAUUAUUAUCUCACACCAUUGGCCAUUUAGCUUUCGACAUUAUUCCU